CGAAGUGAACCGGGAAGAAGCUCAAAUUUGAAAUCUGGCGUCCUCAGGGCGUCCGAGUUGUAAUCUAUAGAGGCGUUUUCCGUGCCGGACCGUGUCCAAGUUCCUUGGAACAGGAUAUCAAAGAGGGUGACAAUCCCGUACUUGACACGAUGACCGGUGCUCUGUGAUACGUCUUCUACGAGUCGAGUUGUUUGGGAAUGCAGCUCAAAAUGGGUGGUGAGUUCCAUCUAAAGCUAAAUAUUGGCGAGAGACCGAUAGCGAACAAGUACCGUGAGGGAAAGAUGAAAAGCACUUUGGAAAGAGAGUUAAACAGUACGUGAAAUUGUUGAAAGGGAAACGAUUGAAGUCAGUCGUGACUGAGAGGCUCAGCCGGUUCUGCCGGUGUAUUCCCCUCAGUCGGGUCAACAUCAGUUUUGUCCGGUGGAAAAGGGCGGUAGGAACGUGGCACCUCCGGGUGUGUUAUAGCCUGCCGUCGCAUACAUCGGGUGAGACUGAGGAAUGCAGCUCGCCUUUAUGGCCGGGGUUCGCCCACGUCCGAGCUUAGGAUGUUGACAUAAUGGCUUUAAACGACCCGCUGA
rnacentral:rRNA from 1 species